UACGUAGGGUGCGAGCGUUAUUCGGAAUUACUGGGCGUAAAGCGUGCGCAGGCGGUUCGUUAAGUCAGCUGUGAAAGCCCCGGGCUUAACCUGGGAAUUGCGGUUGAAACUGGCGAACUAGAAUCUGGCAGAGGGGGGUGGAAUUCCACGUGUAGCAGUGAAAUGCGUAGAGAUGUGGAGGAACACCGAUGGCGAAGGCAGCCCCCUGGGCUGAGAUUGACGCUCAGGCACGAAAGCGUGGGGAGCAAACAGG
rnacentral:rRNA from 1 species